AUGUUCUACUCCAAAACGAUGCUGUCCAAGAAGGGCCCACUGGGCGCGGUGUGGGUGGCGGGCGUCCGCGGCGUCGCCGCGCUCACCAGGGACCAGGUCCUGGGCACCGACGUCGCCUCCUCCGUCGACAAGAUUUUGCCCGACGUUGAAACCACAUACAGAAUACUUGGGUUGCUUCUGCUUGGCGUUGUUAGGAUUUACUCCAAGAAGGUGGAAUACCUCUGCUAUGACAGCAAUCAGUUUUUUGAAUCAACUGUAAGAGGGAAGAAAGUUCUACAGCGAGGGAAGAAAGGUGCUUGUGCAAGAAGAUUGGUGCUAGACCAAGAAGACACUAGAAGAUCGAAAAGAGUUGCCGUCGUUCAAGUCCCAGAAUUGGACGAACCAGCUGAUCUUCCACCAAUCUUCACCGUACCCAAAAGAUUUGAGCUCGACUCUUUUGAUUUGCAGAUACCUGAAGACAGAGAGGAUGACAAUGAUGAUCAUCACCAAUUGCCUCGUCAAGAUACUUUGUUGGAAGAUGAACAUCAGCGUAUGCCAAAUUUAUACGAGGGGAUGCCAUAUGCUGAUCUGGACUCUGCUUACGUUGUGCCAGUAUGCAUCAUUCCAACUGAAAUGAUCGGUGUCACUGAUGAAGUCACUGAUCUUCUGUACUUGGGUAACAUAGGGGAUGAACUUGAAAAUGAAAGUCAGAAUCCUGAUCCUGCUUGCUUUACACCAGUGAAGGAUGUUCUUCCACCUGAGGCGAUGGAUAUGAUGGCUGAAGCAAGCGAGCUUCCAGAGAAAAGCAAAGAGGUGAAGAAAGCUAGAAGAGAAGUGAAUGGUGAAGAGAAUGGUGAUCCUGCUUGUUCUACCCCUUUGCCGGAGAAUCAAGAAAUGCAAAGACCUGUGAAUGCUGUGGAGAAUGUGGUGUGUGCAGAUCUAGAUGAAAAUCAUCCUGUAGUCGAAGAAUCAGAAAAUGGGUUAGCGGUAGGAAAACUGAACACAACACUAUCUAUAGAAAUUCCUGACAUCGAGGAACAAGAGUCUCUGGAACCUUCCACUCCAGAGCCCUUGCGAGAGGGAGCCUCAGAAAAAUUUGUGGUUGCAACACCUGCUCAAAAUGAGAAGCGCCAGGUUACCAGAAAAAGGAGGAGGGGGUUAUACAAUAAGAGAAAAGUUUGGGUGUUGUGGGAUGAGAAUGCUAUCCUUGAUAAUGAAACGAUGAGAGAAAUGGUAGACGGGGUUGGUGUAGAGGAUCUAGUCGUCAAAAGAAGGAAGGCGCCUCACACUCGCCAUCAGAUUUGGAGGGAGCCAAGAUUUCGUUCUCUGCAGGAUACUUUCAUGGAGCCAAUUCUUCCAUGUGAUAACAUUGAGCCAAUUAUGCAAUAUUCGACUACAGUGCGCCUUAAUUCUACUACAGCCGAUGCCUCAUGCGGGGAAUCCGUUAAAGCAAAGAAGUGUCUUUCAUAUGAACCUGCUGAAUCCAGCAAUCCCCACAAGGAAGCUGCAAAUGAAGAAACAGAAUGUGUCCCAAAUGAACUGACAAAUGGCAUCCAGACUCCUGUUGGGUGCUACAAUCAAAGUCAGCAAAGUCAAGAUGUUUGUGAAUGCAAUGCUGAUACACCCUAUGAAAAGAACAACACACUAGUCAAUGGAGAUGAAUCAGUGCUGCCAGAAGAGAGAUUGUAUGAAUCAACCAGUCACAGUGCAUUGCGCAAUGAAUCAUUGACUGCUGAUAUAGAUGCGGAUAUUCCUAUGGAUGAAGAGCAUGCUGCCAGAGAUGAAGAUUUCCCGCUUUCAACAAGAACUAGGGCAGUAGCAAAGUGCCUCCAUCAGCUAUUCUUGGACCAGAAGUGCCAGGAGCAAAGUAAUGUCCCCGUGACGCUCGGCCAAGCCCUCGAAGGCAGCAAGAGGAAAACCACAGCAAGAUUCUUCUAUGAAACUCUGAUCCUCAAGAGCCGCGGGUUGAUAGACGUGAAUCAGGAGAAGCCCUAUGAGAACAUCACAAUCUCUGCAACUCCACAGCUCGACGCGGUGCUGCAGAAUCCAGUGCCCGCUUCAACUUCUUAG
rnacentral:rRNA from 1 species